GGAGAUGUAAUGGAAGAUUUCUCAUGUUGUUUUUCUAAAAUCAGAUAGUCUUGCUCGUGCUUUCGUUUCUCGUUGUUCCAGGACAUUUAUUUCGGCACUGUUAUCGAAUACCGCAUGUGAUAAUUGACAGAGAAAAAAGGAGCAGAGCAUUUCUGAGGAGGCCGAGGAACCGACCAUUAAGGAACCAGAGCCAAAGGAGCAAGCGAAGCCACAGCGGUCGUCCCCCUCCCCACCUCCAAAACCUGAACCAGUUAAGAUCCAAGAACCUGAGUCAGAGUCGGAGCCAGAGUCGGAGCCAGAGUCGGAGCCAGAGUCGGAGCCUGAACCAGAACCAAAGACAGAGACAGAGACCCGGGAAGCCAACUCAGGAGCUGAGCCCAUCACCCAGCAGCCGCAGAGGGCAAAAGAAGACGAUCAAAGCAACAACGCUGACAACGCUGCUGAAAAAGAGGAAGCUACUGAGGACGGCUGUGGUGCUCCAGUCAGCUGUGAUGCAUUUAAGAGCUGCCUGAUGCGCCUUCCUCAAACCUCCGAGUGCCUGGGCAACAUCAACGCGUUCUUCAAAGAGAACGGCAUCU